UCAUCAAACACAGGCACUCUUCUGAUUAAUGGCUAAUUUAUUAUUUGCCUUGCAAAUGUUUAUCUGCAGGGAGAUGGAGUAAAUAUACUACAGCUCUGACAAGCACCAUGGCCACUCUUGCCCUGCCUGAUGGAACGGUCAGUCGAUGCUGUCCCUGAGGAGCCAUGCCCUGCCUUAGGUUUCCCAAACAGUCCUCUGAAAGGCUGGACAACCACUGCUUACAAAUAAAAGAGAACUUCUGGAAGGAAUCGCAAGAAACAAAUCAGUAAAGAGAAUGCAGUUGAUUGGAGAUAAGUCAGAUGUGUUUUUCACUUUAUCCUCUGGUGUAUAUGCCAAUGCAGACAAUGUCCCAUGACUGUAAUUGUCACUCAGCUGUCUGUCAGUGAUGAGAAGAAAAGGGUGACAGCCUUGACAUCCCACCAAUCAUCCCUCUGGAAAAUUGAUAUCGUCCUCCCCAGUAAACAACAGCUAAAUAAUCGACCAGCCUUGCCAGCACAUCCCUGAACAAUCAGCUUCCAUUAAGGGCAGAAGCCACACAUUUAUCCCACCGUACUCCAAUCAAUAGUACACUGACUUGUUCUAUGUUCCAGCAUGCCACUGCUCAAGGUCUGCAUUUAGCAAAGGCUACCUUUCAAGUCUUUCAAACUUAAACUACAGUGGAGCUUUUGGGGGUAAGUAAAGUCCUCUACUUUCAUGUAAAAUAUCUUUUUCUUGCUAAUUUGGCAUACUUAAAUUUCCAGGAAAUCUAGCAGAUUUGUUUUCUUGAUUAAUUUUUACUUUCUUUAGCAGUAAACUAAAAUCUACAAAAAUAAUAAAAAAAUAAUAAUAAUUGAAAAGCAUUUGUUUAUCAGUUGCAGGGUUGCAGUUGCACACAUAUACAUGUUUUAGAGGAAAUUUACACUUGUAGUAGAAAAACUGACCUUAUUUAAAAUGAUCUUCUGUGUAGUUAUAUACUGAAAAUAUUGUCUGGCAAUCAGAACAGUUUGUUAAAUGUGAGGUCCACAGUUGUUUAUACAUCAGUUAGUAACUUACCAACUUAAGUUACUUUAGACAGUUAGAUUGGUAAUGCAAUAAAAUCACUGCAAGGUGGUACACACAGUCUUUCAAGUUAAGCAAACUAGUUAUUUGCAUGAGUAUAGAAUUUGUCUCUGCAGGAAAAGCAAAACAUAGGCCAGCAGGCUCACUUCACAACUUGAAAGAAAAAACAUCAGAAGUGCUGCAAAUCUGUAAUUGCCAUUGCACAUUAGUACUUCACUCUGUUACUUGACAUGAGGUGCUAAGUCAGCAGCUGCUGUUGUUAUCACCCAAACAUAUCUUCUGUAGAUUAUUUAGAAAUCAACCUUUACAGCACCAAAUCUCCUACACAGAUCACAGGAGGCAUGGCUACUCACUGACUUAACAUUUUUAAUGUUAGAGGCUUUCUAUUUCAAAUUUUGUAUCCUGACCCUCACUUGUAACCUUGAGGCUCUUAAUCAGCAAACACCCCAGUGACACCGUGGCAAUGCUUCUCUGUUUCAAGUUCUCUUCUGCUUGCAGCCUUAUGCUGAUGGGUACAAACUACUGCUGUAGUAGUUUCUUGUAGCAAACGGUUUGCUAAUCCCUGAAUCACUCUCUGCCUCACAGCUUCCAACCUAUAAGCCCAGGAUAAGAUCUCUUUCCUCCCUUUUCUGUAUUAUAGCUUAGAACUUCAGCACUUUACAGAUAACAGAAGUCAAUCAAAUACAAAUCCAGUGGGCAGGUUCCUAUAAUAUUCAUGCACACAAAGCUUGGCCACCAACCAAUUUGCAAGACUUGUACCUGAUCACAAAUGGUUUCACAAGUGCGUACUGUAAACAAGAACAUGUAGUCAGGAGUUUGGCCAGGCCCUGAUAAUACUAUCUUCUAUAGCAGAAGUGUUUGGACUGCAUGGAAGAGAACACUUCCAGGAAUACUCUUCAUUUUUCUUUCCAGCUGACUACUAACAACAGGUCUUUUGUCCCUUUCAGUCCUCUUUUCUACUUGUUUGUGUUUUCCAGCUAAUGUAACUUUGAAGCUGAUGCAUGCCAUCAUCUAUGGGCCCCCACUAAUAAAGCUUUGUGCAUGUAAGUGCGCCUGAACAGUUUGUGCAACAUCAACUACUGACAGCUAGAUUGACAACUGUUAGUAACCAGUACAGAAAUUGCAAUUUCUCUAAACACAAGCAGUAGAUUUUGAACUUCCAAAUUAUCACCGCGAUUACAUCAUUAUACAUAUUGAUACAUUACAAAACUACAAUGAUUUAUGAGAUGGGAGUUGUUAUUUGUAGAGUUAAGACCCUCUGCCAUUACUUGGAAAUAAAUAAAAUAUAAAUAAAGUUCAUAAAAUUCUUAAGUUUAGUUUAUAAGGAAAAAUUAAGGAUUACCAUGACAGGUUUCAUUUGUUUGGGGAUGUAGGCACUACUGGUGUAAUGCAAAAAUCAUUAGGGAAUUCACAGUCCCCUUCACUUUGUUAAAUGGACAUAAUCAAUACCUUAAUGGGAAUGUUUGGAAGCAUCCAUGGGCAGAUCAAAUUGGCACUUAUAACACUUUUUCCAGCCUGUACACUAAGUUCAUUAACUUCUCUCAUUUGAAUUACAAAUUUCAUUUCUCAGAUCAAGACGAGGACAUGGCUCUCAUUUACAAGCUCAGAUUCUUUGCUGUGUUAAUGUUUUACAGGAAACGAUAAAGUUAAUGCAGUGGAGAGACAUCAUGCCAUCCCUGUUGGUAUACAAUUAUAGACAAGGUCCCAGAUUCCAAUAAUCCUGAUGGGAGAGAGACAGGAACUUCCAUAAAAGAAUGAGAAAAUUAUUAAGUAGAGAGGCCAAAAGGCUAAUCGACCCUCUUAGAAACAUAUUCAUGCUUGUCAUAACAAGAACAUACCCUACAAAACCAAAAUGUGUUAUUUAAUAUAAUCUAAUUUAAUGAGCAAACACAGCCAUAUUCUCAUUCACACUUAUCAUUAAAUUGCUAAUUAAAACCUUUUAGAAAGGUUUAAGGUUUAAAUGAAACACUUCUUUAAUUUUAUGGUACUGUACUUAGGAGAGUUGAUAAAGCUUUAGAAAAGAAUUACAUUCUGCAAAAGCUUCCUUCUAAAACUAUGAGUACUGAUAAAAUGCAAGGUUAUGCACUAAAGAAUGGCACAAAUCGCCAGCACAAUUUUCUCAUGAAAGUUUAAAGCAGCAUUUUCAGAACAUGCUAACAACACAGGUAAGAAUCGAGAUCUGCAAACCUGACUCUUCUGCACCUUGAAUUUAGUUAAUAAAGAAAUAAGCCUGAGAAAAUGCCACAUAUGGAACCAUUCGUAAAUUUAAGAAUUACUAGAAGAACAGGUAUCAAAAUCUGGCUUAAGAAUCUGUUAGCGAAAUAGAAAUAGUGACUGAAGUGAUAUUCACGCAUAUAACUUGGAGCUACUUUUUCAUUAUGGGUUUGCCAUCAGAAGUAGCAAAUAUAUAAUCCCACUAAAUUCCAGAAUUUAUUUUUCAUUACAGUAAACACUUUUUUUUUUUUUUUUUAAGUCCAUGUCAUAAAAAGAUGGGAUUCAGUUAUACUAUAUUAAUUGUUGCUGAAGCAGUAUCUUUCUGAGAUUAUUUCGCCAAUUUUAGUCUAGAUACUUUCAACACUGCCACCAAGUCUACAAUUCCAUAAUUGAACUUCCCUACAGCAUGCAUUUGCUCCAAUAUCAGCAUGGACACAAAAUCUGACCUCUGCUAACUCCACCACAGCAUACAACAUGAACUCUAUGCUGGCCAUAUGCUUUCAUGCCAAUUCUGGGAAGGCUGACAACAUGGCACAAUGCCUGGUUGCUGUCACGUUCACCUAUCAAAAAUGUUCGGUUAAAUCUGAAUUAGCAGCAUAAAUUUAUAACAAAUCUGCACUUUCCUGUCACAAAGCAUCAGUUUUUGAGCCAGCAAGAGGAACCCUAGAGUUACAGUGUUGGUUGUAACUCACUCCUAUUUGGUGCCUUGUGCAUUCAAAAAGCGUAUACAUAACCCCUUUCCCUGAACAAUGAUGAAGAAGCUGUCAGUGUCUUCAUCUGAGGCUCAGUAUGUGUUGAGGGCAGGUAGGAAGAGGGUUCUUUUCACAUGCAUAAGAGACCUGUCACAACCCAGUUCAGUGUGAGUAACUACCAAAUUCUCUAUAUAGCAGCAUCAAGAAUGGCUGAUUUGUUGAGGAAAAUCUCACUUGUCUGCUCUCUCAGACCAUUUUUUUCAUAAUAAUGGAUAUUAGUUUUAAUUUCAAAGUAGCUAGUAUGGCUCAAUUUACAGUCAAAGCAACAUGUAGUUAAGAUCUUUUCCUGUUGUGACUAAUAAGCUUUUGUUCCCUUAGCACGGGUGCAGAGAAGGCUGUGGGGAGAGACAGAAGAGGAGGCAAGUGUCAGUGGAAAUUAAUGUGCAUGAUACUGUGCACAGUUCAAAAAUAAGUAUUUCUGUAGGAAUUUAUGACCUUUGACAACUUAUUAGAGAUGGCAUUAUAAAAAGCCCAUUGUAAGGUAUUAUACUGCAAUAAGUCAUUCUUCUAUUACAGUUUCUGGCUUUGGACUGUUUGUUUUUGUUUGUUUUCUUUUUAUAUUGUUGGAUUAGUAAGAGAUGAAAAUCCUCUGUCCAAGACCUGGUUUUAUUAUAUUUCUGCCUAGUAAGAAUGGUCAAUUCCCAGUCACAUAAUAUUCAUGGGUGUUUGACUUCUAAUGUGGUGCUUCAUUUGCAGGUCCUUCAUUUUCAGAGAGUAGGUUUUAAGACAGAGAAAAUUUGUAAAUGCCUUAAAAACAAGAUAUAAACAUACAUAACAAGAAAAAGGGGAAUGAGAAGGCUAAGGAUUAAAAAAAAAAAAAAAAAAA